GGUUAAGCGACUAAGCGUACACGGUGGAUGCCCUGGCAGUCAGAGGCGAUGAAGGACGUGCUAAUCUGCGAUAAGCGUCGGUAAGGUGAUAUGAACCGUUAUAACCGGCGAUUUCCGAAUGGGGAAACCCAGUGUGUUUCGACACACUAUCAUUAACUGAAUCCAUAGGUUAAUGAGGCGAACCGGGGGAACUGAAACAUCUAAGUACCCCGAGGAAAAGAAAUCAACCGAGAUUCCCCCAGUAGCGGCGAGCGAACGGGGAGCAGCCCAGAGCCUGAAUCAGUGUGUGUGUUAGUGGAAGCGUCUGGAAAGGCGCGCGAUACAGGGUGACAGCCCCGUACACAAAAAUGCACAUGCUGUGAGCUCGAUGAGUAGGGCGGGACACGUGGUAUCCUGUCUGAAUAUGGGGGGACCAUCCUCCAAGGCUAAAUACUCCUGACUGACCGAUAGUGAACCAGUACCGUGAGGGAAAGGCGAAAAGAACCCCGGCGAGGGGAGUGAAAAAGAACCUGAAACCGUGUACGUACAAGCAGUGGGAGCACGCUUAGGCGUGUGACUGCGUACCUUUUGUAUAAUGGGUCAGCGACUUAUAUUCUGUAGCAAGGUUAACCGAAUAGGGGAGCCGAAGGGAAACCGAGUCUUAACUGGGCGUUAAGUUGCAGGGUAUAGACCCGAAACCCGGUGAUCUAGCCAUGGGCAGGUUGAAGGUUGGGUAACACUAACUGGAGGACCGAACCGACUAAUGUUGAAAAAUUAGCGGAUGACUUGUGGCUGGGGGUGAAAGGCCAAUCAAACCGGGAGAUAGCUGGUUCUCCCCGAAAGCUAUUUAGGUAGCGCCUCGUGAAUUCAUCUCCGGGGGUAGAGCACUGUUUCGGCAAGGGGGUCAUCCCGACUUACCAACCCGAUGCAAACUGCGAAUACCGGAGAAUGUUAUCACGGGAGACACACGGCGGGUGCUAACGUCCGUCGUGAAGAGGGAAACAACCCAGACCGCCAGCUAAGGUCCCAAAGUCAUGGUUAAGUGGGAAACGAUGUGGGAAGGCCCAGACAGCCAGGAUGUUGGCUUAGAAGCAGCCAUCAUUUAAAGAAAGCGUAAUAGCUCACUGGUCGAGUCGGCCUGCGCGGAAGAUGUAACGGGGCUAAACCAUGCACCGAAGCUGCGGCAGCGACGCUUAUGCGUUGUUGGGUAGGGGAGCGUUCUGUAAGCCUGCGAAGGUGUGCUGUGAGGCAUGCUGGAGGUAUCAGAAGUGCGAAUGCUGACAUAAGUAACGAUAAAGCGGGUGAAAAGCCCGCUCGCCGGAAGACCAAGGGUUCCUGUCCAACGUUAAUCGGGGCAGGGUGAGUCGACCCCUAAGGCGAGGCCGAAAGGCGUAGUCGAUGGGAAACAGGUUAAUAUUCCUGUACUUGGUGUUACUGCGAAGGGGGGACGGAGAAGGCUAUGUUGGCCGGGCGACGGUUGUCCCGGUUUAAGCGUGUAGGCUGGUUUUCCAGGCAAAUCCGGAAAAUCAAGGCUGAGGCGUGAUGACGAGGCACUACGGUGCUGAAGCAACAAAUGCCCUGCUUCCAGGAAAAGCCUCUAAGCAUCAGGUAACAUCAAAUCGUACCCCAAACCGACACAGGUGGUCAGGUAGAGAAUACCAAGGCGCUUGAGAGAACUCGGGUGAAGGAACUAGGCAAAAUGGUGCCGUAACUUCGGGAGAAGGCACGCUGAUAUGUAGGUGAAGUCCCUCGCGGAUGGAGCUGAAAUCAGUCGAAGAUACCAGCUGGCUGCAACUGUUUAUUAAAAACACAGCACUGUGCAAACACGAAAGUGGACGUAUACGGUGUGACGCCUGCCCGGUGCCGGAAGGUUAAUUGAUGGGGUUAGCCGCAAGGCGAAGCUCUUGAUCGAAGCCCCGGUAAACGGCGGCCGUAACUAUAACGGUCCUAAGGUAGCGAAAUUCCUUGUCGGGUAAGUUCCGACCUGCACGAAUGGCGUAAUGAUGGCCAGGCUGUCUCCACCCGAGACUCAGUGAAAUUGAACUCGCUGUGAAGAUGCAGUGUACCCGCGGCAAGACGGAAAGACCCCGUGAACCUUUACUAUAGCUUGACACUGAACAUUGAGCCUUGAUGUGUAGGAUAGGUGGGAGGCUUAGAAGUGUGGACGCCAGUCUGCAUGGAGCCGACCUUGAAAUACCACCCUUUAAUGUUUGAUGUUCUAACGUUGACCCGUAAUCCGGGUUGCGGACAGUGUCUGGUGGGUAGUUUGACUGGGGCGGUCUCCUCCUAAAGAGUAACGGAGGAGCACGAAGGUUGGCUAAUCCUGGUCGGACAUCAGGAGGUUAGUGCAAUGGCAUAAGCCAGCUUGACUGCGAGCGUGACGGCGCGAGCAGGUGCGAAAGCAGGUCAUAGUGAUCCGGUGGUUCUGAAUGGAAGGGCCAUCGCUCAACGGAUAAAAGGUACUCCGGGGAUAACAGGCUGAUACCGCCCAAGAGUUCAUAUCGACGGCGGUGUUUGGCACCUCGAUGUCGGCUCAUCACAUCCUGGGGCUGAAGUAGGUCCCAAGGGUAUGGCUGUUCGCCAUUUAAAGUGGUACGCGAGCUGGGUUUAGAACGUCGUGAGACAGUUCGGUCCCUAUCUGCCGUGGGCGCUGGAGAACUGAGGGGGGCUGCUCCUAGUACGAGAGGACCGGAGUGGACGCAUCACUGGUGUUCGGGUUGUCAUGCCAAUGGCACUGCCCGGUAGCUAAAUGCGGAAGAGAUAAGUGCUGAAAGCAUCUAAGCACGAAACUUGCCCCGAGAUGAGUUCUCCCUGACUCC
rnacentral:rRNA from 1 species